rnacentral:rRNA from 1 species
AGCAGCCGCGGUAAUUCCAGCUCCAAUAGCGUAUAUUAAAGUUGUUGCAGUUAAAAAGCUCGUAGUUGAAUUUCGGGAUCAGUUGAUCGGUCGUGCCUCGGUACGUACUGGUCAAAUUGAUUCCUACCUUCUGACGAACCACGAUGUCAUUAAUUUGGUGUCGUGGGAAAUCAGGACUGUUACUUUGAAAAAAUUAGAGUGUUUAAAGCAGGCUCGCGCUUGAAUACAUUAGCAUGGAAUAAUGAAAUAGGACGUUUGAUUCUAUUUUGUUGGUUUCUAGGAUCGACGUAAUGAUUAAUAGGGAUAGUUGGGGGCAUUAGUAUUCAAUUGUCAGAGGUGAAAUUCUUGGAUUUAUUGAAGACUAACUACUGCGAAAGCAUUUGCCAAGGAUGUUUUCAUUAAUCAAGAACGAAAGUUAGGGGAUCGAAGACGAUCAGAUACCGUCGUAGUCUUAACCAUAAACUAUGCCGACUAGGGAUCGGAUGAUGUUAAUUUUUAAUGUACUCAUUCGG